UCUAAGCAUGAGCCAAUUAAUGGUGAAGCCGCGAAUAGCUCAUUACAACAGCCAUUGUUUACUUGAUCUUGAUAUCCUACUUGGAUAACUGUGGUAAUUCUAGAGCUAAUACACGCACCAAAGCUCAGACCUUACGGGACGAGCGCAUUUAUUAGAACGCUACCAAUCGGGAUUCGGCUCGCCGUUGGUGACUCUGGAUAACUCAGCUGAUCGCAUGGUCAUUGCACCGGCGACUCAUCUUUCUAAGUGUCUGCCUGAUCAACUUUCGAUGGUAGAUUAUGUGUCUACCAUGGUUGUGACGGGUUACGGAGAAUAAGGGUUCGACUCCGGAGAGGGAGCCUGAGACACGGCUACCACAUCCAAGGAAGGCAGCAGGCGCGUAAAUUACCCAAUCUCAGCACGAGGAGGUAGUGACGAAAAAUAACGAGACCGUUCUCUAUGAGGCCGGUUAUCGGAAUGGGUACAAUUUAAA
rnacentral:rRNA from 1 species